rnacentral:rRNA from 1 species
UACAGGGGGUGCAAACGUUGCUCGGAAUUACUGGGCGUAAAGGGCUCGUAGGCGGCCAACUAAGUCAGACGUGAAAUCCCCAGGCUCAACCUGGGAACUGCGUCUGAUACUGGAUGGCUUGAAUCCGGGAGAGGGAUGCAGAAUUCCAGGUGUAGCGGUGAAAUGCGUAGAUAUCCGGAGGAACACCGGUGGCGAAGGCGGCUUCCUGGACCGACACUGACGCUGAGGCGCGAAAGCUAGGGGAGCAAACGGG